GAUGAAGAACGCAGCGAAAUGCGAUAAGUAAUGUGAAUUGCAGAAUUCAGUGAAUCAUCGAAUCUUUGAACGCACAUUGCGCCCGCUAGUAUUCUGGCGGGCAUGCUGUCCGAGCGUCAUUUCAACCCUCAAGCCCCCGGGCUUGGUGUUGGGGAUCGGCGAGCCUCCGCGCCCGCCGUCCCCUAAAUCUAGUGGCGGUCUCGCUGUAGCUUCCUCUGCGUAGUAGCACACCUCGCACUGGGAAACAGCGCGGCCACGCCGUUAAACCCCCAACUUCUGAACGUUUGACCUCGGAUCAGGUAGGAAUACCCGCUGAACUUAAGCAUAUCAAUAAGCGGAGGA
rnacentral:misc_RNA from 1 species